GUUCUUGUAGUUUAAGUACAACAGUGGUUUUUCAUAUCACAGGUCAUGGUUGGAGUCCAUGCGAGAAUA
rnacentral:tRNA from 1 species